GCACAAGCGGUGAUGAUGUGGAUUAAUUCGAUGCAACGCGAAAACCUUACCUACCCUUGACAUGUCUGGAAUCCCGAAGAGAUUUGGGAGUGCUCGCAAGAGAACCGGAACACAGGUGCUGCAUGGCUGUCGUCAGCUCGUGUCGUGAGAUGUUGGGUUAAGUCCCGCAACGAGCGCAACCCUUGUCAUUAGUUGCUACGAAAGGGCACUCUAAUGAGACUGCCGGUGACAAACCCGGAGGAAGGUGGGGAUGACGUCAAGUCCUCAUGGCCCUUAUGGGUAGGGCUUCACACGUCAUACAAUGGUCGGUACAGAGGGUUGCCAACCCGCGAGGGGGAGCUAAUCCCACAAAGCCGAUCGUAGUCCGGAUCGCAGUCUGCAACUCGACUGCGUGAAGUCGGAAUCGCUAGUAAUCGUGGAUCAGCAUGUCACGGUGAAUACGUUCCCGGGUCUU
rnacentral:rRNA from 1 species